GUGUCAGCCGCCGCGGUAAUACAGAGGGUGCGAGCGUUGUCCGGAAUCACUGGGCGUAAAGGGCGCGUAGGCGGCCCCUUAAGCGUGUGGUGAAAGCGCGGGGCUCAACCCCGCGUCGGCCAUGCGAACUGGGGGGCUGGAGCAGACCAGAGGCAGGCGGAAUUCCGGGUGUAGCGGUGGAAUGCGUAGAGAUCCGGAAGAACACCGGUGGCGAAGGCGGCCUGCUGGGGUCUGGCUGACGCUGAGGCGCGACAGCGUGGGGAGCAAACAGGAUUAGAUACCCCCGUAGUCC
rnacentral:rRNA from 1 species